rnacentral:lncRNA from 1 species
GCUCGUUGUCUGCUCAUUGUCUGUUUGUUUCUUCUUAGGAGGCAUCGGGAAACAAACCUGGGACCUCCUGUGUGGGAGGAAGGUGCCCAUCUGCCGGAGCCACGUCCACUCUGACCAAACUGCCUGCAGUCCAGGAGCUGGGGCUGCAGGUCCAAAGGGCACAGCCCUUGCCAUCCAGGAAUGGCAGGGAGACCCACAUGGAAACAGACGUUGCCACGCCGUGUGAAGAAGCUGACAGUGGACCUGUGACAGCAUGGCAUGCAGGGGAGGCAGUCGCUACAGUUCCGAAUUAAAGGCGACAACAACCCACAAAGAGCCGUCCUGGGGAACGGUCGGAGACCUCAGGCUGGUCACGGCCUUGCUGCUGGCGGGAAGUCCUGCUGACUCUGGAUGCCGGAGGAUUUAAAACGAAGUAUCGGGGAUGUGGAUGUUUUCUUCUGGGAAGACUCCCCUACCCGGAGGCAGGCACAGUCCAGAGGCCACGCUGAAGGCCGAGUGGAGCCGUCACUGGCAACCUCUGGUUGUGCUUGCGAAUCAGCGAUUCAGCCAAAGAGGGCCAUUACCAGGUUCCCAGGGAGCCCUGCCUGUCCAGCCCGUGGUGACCCCAGCUCUGUCCACGGUCGCUGCUGCGUCUCCCAAGGGCUGCUGGGGUCUAGGGAGCCUCAGGGCUGGGGCCUGCCGAAAGGGCCGAGUGGAGCCCCUGGAUUUCAACCCGCCCCAUUUACCUGGAACCCGAGGGUCCCCGGGGGCUUUUGCAGCGCUGAAAGCAGGGGCGUCCUGGACAAACCAGGGCAGACGCUCACCCAGCUCAGGGGUCCACAGGUGGAGUCGCGCCGGCAGCUGCCGCAUCAGCCUUGGUUUUUCAUCCUUCACUACGUGACGCUGACCGCGCUCCCUGCUCGGAUUCUCCGCUCCAGCAGGACGUGUUUUCCGUCUGGAAGCCGCUCUUAUCUUCCAAGUCAAGUUCUGUUAAGGGGAUUUUCCCAAAAGGGAAAUCUCUGCGAGCUCUUAUCCCUCACCUUCCCGAAUGCACCCCAGGAAGCGGCCCAAGAGGGACUGUCUCUCCCCAUUUCCUCCACCCGGCACAGACGCGUUCGCAGGCUGAGUGGCCGAGGUGGCCCCGGGCUCCAGCCGGGCAGUGCUCUCCGCCCGUGCUUUCUCCCACGGGACCUCAGGGCUCUCUCUGAGAGCGUGUGACCACCAAGGAGUGAGCGGGAGACGCUGGGCUCGGACCAGCCCUCACGCCAACACACACUCACACACACAAACACACCACACGCACUCAGGCACACACUACACACAGCGCGCACACACGCUCUCACGCAUGCCACACUCAACAGGCAUGCACACACGUACAUACACACACCC